GUGUUCGCCUUGGCAGCACGUGUGCCGAAAUUGGAACGAUACAGAGAUUAGUACAGCCCCUGCACAUGGAUGACAUGCAAAUGCAGGAAGUGUUCCACAUUGAA